UACGAAGGGGGCUAGCGUUGCUCGGAAUUACUGGGCGUAAAGCGCACGUAGGCGGCUUCUUAAGUCGGAGGUGAAAUCCUGGAGCUCAACUCCAGAACUGCUUUCGAUACUGGGAAGCUCGAGUCCGGGAGAGGUGAGUGGAACUGCGAGUGUAGAGGUGAAAUUCGUAGAUAUUCGCAAGAACACCAGUGGCGAAGGCGGCUCACUGGCCCGGUACUGACGCUGAGGUGCGAAAGCGUGGGGAGCAAACAGG
rnacentral:rRNA from 1 species